rnacentral:tRNA from 2 species
GCGGGGGUUGCCAAGCCAGGUCAAAGGCGCCAGCUUGAGGGGCUGGUCUCUUAGGAGUUCGGGGGUUCAAAUCCCCUCCCCCGCACCA